GACAGAGGAUGCACGCGUUAUUCGGAAUGAUUGGGCGUAAAGCGUCUGUAGGUGGCUUAAAAAGUCUCCUGUCAAAGAUCAGGGCUUAACCCUGGGCCGGCAGGAGAAACUCUUAGGCUAGAGUUUGGUAGGGGCAGAGGGAAUUCCCGGUGGAGCGGUGAAAUGCGUAGAGAUCGGGAGGAACACCAAAGGCGAAAGCACUCUGCUGGGCCAUAACUGACACUGAGAGGCGAAAGCGAGGGGAGCAAAAGGG
rnacentral:rRNA from 1 species